AGUCAAUAGAUACCCUGGUAGUCCUAGCCCUAAACGGUGCACGUUUGCUGUAAAAGGAAUCGACCCCUUUGUUGGCGAAAGACUAAACGCGAUAAACGUAGCCGCCUGGGGAGGUACGGUCGCAAGAUUAAAACUACAAAGAAAAUUAGACGGGGGCCGUGCACAAGCGGUGGAGUAUGUGGCUUAAUUACGAUGCAACGCGAAGAACCUUACCCUGGCCUUGACAUGCAAGUGGUAGAACCAUGAAAGUAGGGACGAUCCCGCAAGGGAAGCUUGCACAGGUGCUGCAUGGCUGUCGUCAGCUCGUGUCGUGAGAUGUUGGGUUAAGUCCCGCAACGAGCGCAACCCUUGUGUCCUGUUGCCACUUCCUCGAGAGAGGAAAGCACUCUGGACAGACUGCCUCGCUUAAACCGGGGGUAGGAAGGUGGGGAUGACGUCAAGUCAGUAUGGCCCUUACGGGCCAGGGCUGCACACGUACUACAAUGCCCGAUACAGAGGGAAGCAAGACCCGUCAGGUGGAGCAAAU
rnacentral:rRNA from 1 species